CUGGCUCAGGAUGAACGCUAGCUACAGGCUUAACACAUGCAAGUCGAGGGGCAGCAUGAAGUUGCUUGCAAACUUGAUGGCGACCGGCGGACGGGUGAGUAACGCGUGGAGAACCUGCCCUGUACUGGGGGGAUAACAGUGAGAAAUCACUGCUAAUACCGCAUAAGCGCACAGAGCCGCAUGGCUCAGUGUAGAAAAACUCCGGUGGUACAGGAUGGCUCCGCGUUGGAUUAGCCAGUUGGCGGGGUAACGGCCCACCAAAGCGACGAUCCAUAGCCGGCCUGAGGAGGGUGAACGGCCACAGUUGGGACUGAGACACCGGCCCAGACUCCGUACGGGAGGCAGCAGGUGGGGAAUAUUGCACAAUGGGGGAAACCCUGAUGCAGCGAACCGCCGCGUGAAGGAAGAAGUAUCUCGGUAUGUAAACUUCUAUCAGCAGGGAAGAUGAUGACGGUACCUGACUAAGAAGCCCCGGCUAACUACGUGCCAGCAGCAGC
rnacentral:rRNA from 1 species